CUUUAAACCAACACAUGCAAACCAAACAGGGACUCCAAACUGAUGUUCAGUAGAAUUUUUUUUUUUUUUUGGUUCUUUCACGUCAAGUUUGCUAUACAAGCAUUUGCUACUUACCAUUUACACCCAUGUAGACUGACGCAGGCUUUCUGACACUGGGUAGAACCAGAAUGACUGAUGGGCUUCCAAUUUGCAGCCUCAAGGCGGCCCAGACCAUAAUAAAACCUCCUCCGUGCCUCACACCAGGGACAUAAUCUUUUUUCCUGGUAACUUCAUUUGGACUUUUGUUUCUAACAUUUGGGAGGCUUGAUUGUGAAAAUAAAAUGACAUCCUGACUGCAGAUGCAGUUCAGUUCAGCUGUGCAGAGACUUUAGCUGCAGCUUUGAUUUUCUGUUUUCAUUCAUUCAUGUUUUACUGAAAACAAUGACAGCAAGAGCUGAGAGUUGUGUCUCAGCUUCCUGCUGAUGGAAACUAGAAUACAACUGAUUCAGAAAAGGAGCUCUGGGGUUUUUCUGAAGAAGUCCAGAUGUAGGGAGCGUUCACGGUGGGCGUGCACGGCAGAGGAAGAAGACAGGCCGGAUGUAUGGUGAAAGGAGCUGCCGCCCACCUCACGCCCGUUAACAGCUUCUUCCCUUUCUCUGCUAAAGCCUGCAGAUGAUGAGCAGAGAGGAAAAACUUCCCCCCAGGCUAUAAUUAGUAACCCUCAAUUUGACUCAUCAUAGUCCUUGCACUCUGCACAUGCAAAUGCACCUGACAGAGCCAGCCCAGCUCUGCAAGAAGUUAACCUCUGAACUGAGGAGUUCAUCUGUUCCUCUAUUAAGCGCGAAUUGAGCGUGCACAUGUGCAUUUGUGCACGCUCUGAUGGCCUCUGAAUGGGAUAUUAUCCGUUCUUUCUGACUCUUUCCACAGAAAUGUUGCAGUUAAUUUCUGAGUUUGCUACAGCUUUUGAUUCGCUCGGCCUCACAGAGUAAUGGUGAUGGACAAAUUCCUAUUUUAUUGAAACUGUUACUUCAUUUUUUUUAAAACAAGUUUCACUCAUACAACUCUGAUAAAAAGUAAAACUUUUUUCCUUUAAACUAAACCAGUUCAUCCCCCUUUAUGGAAGAGGAUAAGGGCCAUGGAGAAAGAAAAAAAAAAAGGACAGAAAAAUUCUUACUUUAAUCUCUGAAUUCUGACUUUGAUCUCUGAAUUCUGACUUUGAUCUCAGAAUUCUGACUUUGAUCUCAGAAUUCUGACUUUGAUCUCUGAAUUCUGACUUUGAUCUCUGAAUUCUGACUUUAAUCUCUGAAUUACGCGCUACUGGCGCAUGUGAGGAGCUGCAGGAGUGAAACCAACUAAAUUGACGUCUGUAAGUUAAGUGUCUUUUUGCGUGCUCAAAGGUUGCCGGAGGAGGUCAUUUCGCUAAUGGAGGAACAGAAGGUAAGUAAAAAAGACUAAAAAAAACUGUUUUAAACUGGAUCUUGUAAAUGAACGGGCAGCCGGCUAUGAUAGCAUUUUGCAACAGCCAUGCAGGGCUUUGCAUAGCUGCUGCAAAAAGGGCUUUGCCUAGAUAUGUUUAGCCCCCCCAUUGUCGUGCCCGUUUAUAUCAACAACUACCUUAUAAUCUCGUUUUUUUAUAGCCUUCAGAAAAUACUCUCUACAUACGUAUGUCUAACAGAUUGUCAUGUUUUACCAUGCAUGAGACCCACCAAUCUUUACUCUCCAAUUCAAUAACAUUCAGUUUUCAGCCUUCUCUUCACGUAACACGUUCUCUCUUUUUAUUAUCUCAUUGUCAAACAAACAGUCUGCACUGAAUUAUACCCUUUCAUAACAUUUAAUACAACACCGUUUGAUAUGGUGCCUCUGUCAGACUCCUCCCCCUUUCCUCUCCGCUUGGCUCCUGAUUCAUCCCAGCUGCGACCACGUACCUCAUCGCCUCACCUGCCUUCUUAAGGAGCUCCAGGAUCAUCAUUCUUCGCCAAUCCGUUGAUGGAAUCCAUUGUCACAAGUGGUGGCCAGGAUUUGCCUCAGUCUGGAGCCCUCCCUCUGUCUUCUCCUGCUGGUCACACCUCGAGCCUCUGCCGUCUCCCGCCAUUUCUCGGACCUCCUCCGACGUCGACUCCUUCCGAAGGUCUGCGGAAGAAUCCACCAGUGACGCCACCGAAGUCUGCUCUUUACUCGUUGGGAACUCAAGAUCCUGCUCUCGUUCUAUCACCUACCUGUUGAUUAAAACCCCUUACCUGCCA